rnacentral:lncRNA from 1 species
ACUACACAGUGUGAAUUUAUUCAAACUUACCUAUGUUUUGACCAUUGUCAAUUCAGCAUAAGAGAAAUAAAUCUGAAACAUUUUCUUUCAGUGAAAGCAGAGGAAGUCUCAUUUUGAAACAGUAUCAGUACUUUCUACAGUUUUCCCCAAAGUACUACUAUUUACCACAAAAUUAGAUCCCAAAGGCUGAAGGGGAGCUUUGAUACAGUAUUAACUCCAACCCUUGUGCGCUUCCCUGCCCCACCCCCUACAUUCAGCUGCCCAGAGACAACAACAAAGACCAUCUACCUCCUACUGUUUCUUUUUUGCAUUUUGGUUCUUAAAAAAUAAGUCAGUGGGUUAAUAUACACUUUUUUUGGGUGCUGACAUUUGCAGCUAAAUAAGACAAUGUAUCAGAAUUACAUCAGCUUUAUUUAAAUG